CAGUCAGGCAAGAGUCGAAGCCACAGAAGCAGCUGGUAGUCGGAUGAUGAAGUAGUUCCCAUAGCCUUCUUUUUUCUCCUCUUCGGCAACUGCUCCCCGAUGCAAUUCUGAUGUCCAGAAAAGAAGCUGCAUUUUAACGGUGUGCUGAACUGUGGUUUGAAUCAUUCCAGUUGGCUGGCUGAUUUUGGAGAAAGGAGGGGGGGAGGCAGGGACCGUGUGUAUAAAUAAAAAUGUGACUGCUCCUGAGGAGUUCAGUGGACAAGGAAUGUCUUUGUGGGUUUAUCUGCAAGCAGUGAGCAUCAUCUUUGGAAAAAAGUAAAGGAGAAACUCCUAUCUUACCUGGGACCGAAUGAAGAACAUCUUAGGGACAAACUUCCCAUGGGCUGCUACUUGGAAAGAACAUCUCAUUGGAAUAUAAGUGCCAAAGGGAAAGGAAGCAUUAAAACAAAGACACAAAGAAAUAAAAUGACAGCCUUCUGAUCCCAUGAUAUUCACAUGUUCUACAGAUCUAAACUUUAAAAUAGGAAAUAUUAUAAUGUUAAGUGACUUUUCCAUUGAUUAUUGGGAACUGGUGCAUUCAGAGAAGACUGCUUCCAUUAUAAAUUUGCAAUCCUUUGGACUUCAAGAUCGCAAAGUUUCAUAGCCUCAUCCAUCCCCCGUAUAAAUGCAUUGCAAUGGUCACAUGAAUGUUUGAAGAGUGGUACCAAUACCAUCCAUUGGCUUGUUUAAAAUUGCACUUUAGAAGGAAGAAGCCAAUUGUUUAUUAAACAAAUAAAUAAUAAACAGAAAGACUUGCAAAAAAAUGAAUCUGAUUGUGAAACUUCGUAGAAGUUUCCGAACUUUAGUAAUACUCUUAACUACUUUCUGUUUAGUUAGCAUUGUCAUUUCUGCUUAUUACUUAUAUACAGGUCACAAGCAAGAAAUUGCUCUUAUUGAGACCACAGAUGGGGUACAAUGUGAAAACCUUAAGCUUUUACCAUACAGGUCAAUGGAGCUUAAAAUGGUGAAGACAAUUGAUCCAUCCAGGACUGACCCUACUGUGCUGCUGUUUGUUGAAAGCCAGUACUCUCAGCUUGGCCAAGAUAUCAUAGCUAUUCUGGAGUCUAGCCGAUUUCAGUUUCAAAUGGUGAUCGCAUCUGGAAAAGGAGACAUUCCUCCACUAGCCGAUAAUGGCAAAGGGAAAUACAUCCUUGUGAUCUAUGAAAAUAUUUUGAAGUACACCUCCAUGGAUUCUUGGAAUAGAGAACUCCUGGAAAAAUACUGUGUGGAAUACAGUGUUAGCAUAAUUGGUUUUCAUAAAGCCAAUGAGAACAGCUUGUCAAGUACUAGACUCAAAGGAUUUCCAUUACACCUUUACAAUAAUGUAGCUCUGCAAGACUGCUUAGUAAAUCCCCAAUCUCCUCUACUGCACAUAACCAAAGCCCCAAGGGUUGAGAAAGGCCCCUUACCUGGUGAAGACUGGACCAUUUUCCAAUAUAAUCACUCUACUUACCAACCUGUGCUUUUAACAGAAAUUCAGGCUUCCAAACCAUUCCCAGCAUCAUUGCUGAAGGUUAAUUUUUAUGCUACAGUGAUUCAGGACCUGGGACUACAUGAUGGGAUUCAGAGAGUCCUUUUUGGAAACAAUUUGAACUUUUGGCUCAACAAACUCAUUUUUAUAGAUGCCAUCUCCUUCCUGACAGGAAAGAGGCUUAUACUGUCCUUGGAUAGAUACAUUCUUGUUGACAUUGAUGACAUCUUUGUUGGGAAGGAAGGAACAAGGAUGAAUGUAAAAGAUGUCAAGGCCUUACUAGAGACUCAAAUUUUACUACGCACUCAGGUUGCAAAUUUUACCUUCAACCUUGGAUUUUCAGGAAAGUUUUACCACACAGGAACCAUUGAAGAAGAUGAAGGUGAUGACUUGCUGCUGAGUUCUGUGGACGAAUUCUGGUGGUUUCCUCAUAUGUGGAGCCACAUGCAGCCUCAUCUCUUCCAUAAUGAGUCAUCAUUGGUUGAACAGAUGAUUCUCAACAAAGAAUUUGCACUAGAACAUGGUAUUCCAACUGACAUGGGCUAUGCAGUGGCUCCUCAUCAUUCUGGCGUUUACCCUGUUCAUAUUCAGCUUUAUGAAGCCUGGAAGAAAGUAUGGGGCAUUAAAGUCACCAGCACUGAAGAGUACCCUCAUCUGAAACCUGCACGGUACAGACGGGGCUUCAUCCACAGUGGCAUCAUGGUACUCCCUCGACAGACAUGUGGACUUUUCACCCAUACAAUUUUUUACAAAGAAUAUCCUGGAGGGCCUCAAGAACUAGACAAAAGUAUCCGAGGAGGCGAACUGUUUCUUACCAUUCUUCUUAACCCUAUCAGUAUCUUCAUGACUCACUUGUCAAACUAUGGGAAUGACCGGUUAGGUUUAUAUACAUUUGUCAACCUGGCCAGCUUUGUUCAAAGCUGGACUAACCUGAAGCUACAGACCCUCCCGCCAGUUCAGCUGGCUCACAAGUACUUUGAACUCUUCUCUGAGCAGAAAGACCCGCUUUGGCAGAAUCCAUGUGAUGACAGACGCCAUAGGGAUAUCUGGUCUAGAGAGAAAACAUGUGACCACUUACCAAAGUUUCUUGUGAUUGGACCCCAGAAAACAGGAACAACUGCACUUUAUUUAUUUCUCCUUAUGCAUCCUUCCAUCAUUAGCAAUCUCCCUAGUCCAAAAACCUUUGAAGAAGUUCAGUUCUUUAAUGGAAACAACUAUCACAAGGGAAUUGACUGGUACAUGACCUUCUUUCCUACCCCUUCUAACAUCACCACUGAUAUCUUGUUUGAGAAAAGUGCCAACUAUUUUCAUUCAGAAGAUGCCCCCAAAAGGGCUGCCUCCUUGAUUCCCAAAGCAAAAAUCAUCACCAUUCUCAUUGAUCCAUCAGACCGAGCAUAUUCCUGGUAUCAGCAUCAACGUUCUCAUGAUGAUUCCACUGCUCUUAAAUUCAAUUUCUAUGAAGUGAUUACUUCAGAUGACUGGGCACCUUCUGAGCUAAAGAUUCUACAGAAAAGAUGUUUGAUUCCUGGCUGGUAUGCUAUCCAUAUAGAAAGAUGGCUAACAUAUUUUCCGACUUCACAGUUAUUAAUUAUUGAUGGACAACAGCUAAGAAGUGACCCAGCUAGCAUAAUGGAUGAAGUUCAAAAGUUUCUGGGAGUUUCUCCUCAUUAUAAUUACUCUGAAGCCCUAACGUUCGAUCCUCAGAAAGGAUUUUGGUGCCAGCUGCUUGACAGUGGAAAGACAAAGUGCCUGGGAAAAAGUAAAGGCCGAAAAUACCCCCCAAUGGAUCAAGAGUCCAGAGCAUUCCUUUCAAACUACUACAGAGAUCACAAUGUGGAACUGUCCAAAGUGCUACACAGACUGGGACAACCAUUACCAUCCUGGCUAAGACAAGAGCUUCAGAAAGUGAGAUAGCAUCAAAAAGAAUCCAGAGAUCUUUACAUCCUGCUUCCUUCACUCUACCACCCUUUAGUUUCCUGAUGAAUUUUCAGUUAUAGAGGACAUCUGAAAUUUCUCAAAAUCAAUAAAAUUAAAUUAAAGCCACACACAAAAAGGAGGUGAGAAAUUAUAACGUAAAUGAACAUGCUGACCAUUGCUAGUAUCAGCUUUUCAAUCAGCUUCUGAAGGGAAAAAAAAUCAGAGCUAUGAGGAAUGGUUUUCUGUCUAGUUUGGGAUUCACACAUACUCUGUUUGCCAGGAAAGUCACAGAAACUGUAUUUAUGAUCGAUACUCUUCAUCAUAUAUGAUAAAUUACAGUCUGUCAAGACACAAGCCAAAGGAUGGAAUAUCUCUCAAUGGAUUGCAAGUGCAUCUUUUCCAUGCAGUUCCUAAAAUAUGGACCCAAGGACUGGAUGCUCCCAUCAUUCCUGCAUCUCCCAGCUAUGAAUAAAUAUUCACAAGUGACACAAACUUGUGCAUCUGCCAAGUUA